rnacentral:rRNA from 1 species
CGGGUGAGUAACACGUGGAUAACCUACCUAUAAGACUGGGAUAACUUCGGGAAACCGGAGCUAAUACCGGAUAAUAUAUUGAACCGCAUGGUUCAAUAGUGAAAGACGGUUUUGCUGUCACUUAUAGAUGGAUCCGCGCCGCAUUAGCUAGUUGGUAAGGUAACGGCUUAUCAAGGCAACGAUGCGUAGCCGACCUGAGAGGGUGAUCGGCAACACUGGAACUGAGACACGGUCCAGACUCCUACGGGAGGCAGCAGCC